rnacentral:piRNA from 1 species
UGAGGAGCCCAGAAGAAAGGGACAAGCUU